rnacentral:rRNA from 1 species
GUUAAGCGACUAAGCGUACACGGUGGAUGCCCUGGCAGUCAGAGGCGAUGAAGGACGUGCUAAUCUGCGAUAAGCGUCGGUAAGGUGAUAUGAACCGUUAUAACCGGCGAUUUCCGAAUGGGGAAACCCAGUGUGAUUCGUCACACUAUCAUUAACUGAAUCCAUAGGUUAAUGAGGCGAACCGGGGGAACUGAAACAUCUAAGUACCCCGAGGAAAAGAAAUCAACCGAGAUUCCCCCAGUAGCGGCGAGCGAACGGGGAGCAGCCCAGAGCCUGAAUCAGUGUGUGUGUUAGUGGAAGCGUCUGGAAAGGCGCGCGAUACAGGGUGACAGCCCCGUACACAAAAAUGCACAUGCUGUGAGCUCGAUGAGUAGGGCGGGACACGUGGUAUCCUGUCUGAAUAUGGGGGGACCAUCCUCCAAGGCUAAAUACUCCUGACUGACCGAUAGUGAACCAGUACCGUGAGGGAAAGGCGAAAAGAACCCCGGCGAGGGGAGUGAAAAAGAACCUGAAACCGUGUACGUACAAGCAGUGGGAGCACGCUUAGGCGUGUGACUGCGUACCUUUUGUAUAAUGGGUCAGCGACUUAUAUUCUGUAGCAAGGUUAACCGAAUAGGGGAGCCGAAGGGAAACCGAGUCUUAACUGGGCGUUAAGUUGCAGGGUAUAGACCCGAAACCCGGUGAUCUAGCCAUGGGCAGGUUGAAGGUUGGGUAACACUAACUGGAGGACCGAACCGACUAAUGUUGAAAAAUUAGCGGAUGACUUGUGGCUGGGGGUGAAAGGCCAAUCAAACCGGGAGAUAGCUGGUUCUCCCCGAAAGCUAUUUAGGUAGCGCCUCGUGAAUUCAUCUCCGGGGGUAGAGCACUGUUUCGGCAAGGGGGUCAUCCCGACUUACCAACCCGAUGCAAACUGCGAAUACCGGAGAAUGUUAUCACGGGAGACACACGGCGGGUGCUAACGUCCGUCGUGAAGAGGGAAACAACCCAGACCGCCAGCUAAGGUCCCAAAGUCAUGGUUAAGUGGGAAACGAUGUGGGAAGGCCCAGACAGCCAGGAUGUUGGCUUAGAAGCAGCCAUCAUUUAAAGAAAGCGUAAUAGCUCACUGGUCGAGUCGGCCUGCGCGGAAGAUGUAACGGGGCUAAACCAUGCACCGAAGCUGCGGCAGCGACGCUUAUGCGUUGUUGGGUAGGGGAGCGUUCUGUAAGCCUGCGAAGGUGUGCUGUGAGGCAUGCUGGAGGUAUCAGAAGUGCGAAUGCUGACAUAAGUAACGAUAAAGCGGGUGAAAAGCCCGCUCGCCGGAAGACCAAGGGUUCCUGUCCAACGUUAAUCGGGGCAGGGUGAGUCGACCCCUAAGGCGAGGCCGAAAGGCGUAGUCGAUGG